rnacentral:rRNA from 1 species
GCAUAUCAAUAAGCGGAGGAAAAGAAACUAACAAGGAUUCCCUUAGUAACGGCGAGUGAAGAGGGAAGAGCUCAAAUUUUAAAUCUAUCAUGUUUGUACAUGAUCGAGUUGUAAUUUGAAGAAGCGUUUUCUCGUACUUUAUGCAAUCAGUAUAAGUUCUCUUGGAACAGGACAUCAUAGAGGGUGAUAAUCCCGUCUGUUACUGGUUGUGAGGUUCGUUAUGAUACGCUUUCAAAGAGUCGAGUUGUUUGGGAUUGCAGCUCCAAAUGGGUGGUAAACAUCACCUAAGGCUAAAUAUUUGCGAGAGACCGAUAGCGAACAAGUACCGUGAGGGAAAGAUGAAAAGAACUUUGAAAAGAGAGUUAAAAAGUAUGUGAAAUUGUUGAAAGGGAAACGAUUGAAGUCAGUCGUACCAGCGGGAAAUCAACCUUUCGAGUGGGAUCUUGGAGUUUUAAAGAGUUUCAAAACCUUUGAGUUUCAAGAUUUCUACUCUUUUGGUGUACUUUCUCGUAGGUAGGUCAACAUCGAUUUUGAACAUCAUAAAAAGAUCGGAGGAAUGUAGCUUCGAUCUCGCAUUGAAGUGUUAUAGCCUUUGGUAAAUGUGAUGAUCAAGAUCGAGGAUUGCAACGAAUAUCCUUUUGGGCUAUUCGUCUGAUCUCUGAUACGUGGCCUUGGUAUCGAAAGCGUGCUUACGGUAUUAAGGUAUUACGGUCAAAAGGUUAGAACGGAUUACAUUCGUUAAGGAUGUUGACGUA